rnacentral:sRNA from 1 species
UGGAUAGCUCACUGAGCUCUGGGUCUAAAGGAAAGAUGCAGCACAGGCAGUGCAAGAGCAAGCUUCUCACACAUGCUGAGUAUCUCUCUCAACCCUGACCUGUUGGCACUCCCUCUGGGGCGAGAGAGGAGUUCAGUCUCCAUUAACUCUUCCCCCCUGGGGUCUC